AAUAAUGCCUUCUAGCCAAUUACACUGUGCAAGAUUUGCCAGUUCUUCACAGGGUCAUAUUCAGCAGCACACUUACUGAAAACUAGAAAGGGUACCACCUGCACAGCGUAUGGAAUGCAGAGCUUCAUCUCCUCACCUGUACCAACUGUGUGACUGACCUUUGGUUUAAUACAUCACUAAAAAUAAGCAGUCAGCUCUCCAAUUUCCCCUAUUUAAAGGAUUUUGCAGAUGAGCUUCAGGCUUCAGCUAAACCUUCAACAAUUAGAAACAGUGACUGACCAAAAAAGUUCAAUUUUUAUCUAGUCUCCAAAUCACUGGUGAGGUCCUUCAGUGUGCACGAAUAUAAAUCUAUUCUCUUGUUUCCUCAUCCAGCUGAUGAUGUUACUGUAACAACCAACAGCAGCCUAGCUGCCAACGUUUCAAACGGUACUUCAGGAACCUGCUUCAGAAGACAAGAUGGUAUUUACCUGCGGGCUAUGCUUUCUCUCUUAAGCCUCCCAUAUGUCUACGUGAUUGCUUUCCAUUAGAGAAUUAACCUUUCAGAAAACUGAGCCAAAAAAUCAAACAGGUUUCUGUCCAUUUCAGUCUUUGAAACAAACCUCCUGAAGUCAGAGAAUUUCAGUGCCAGGAAAACACAGCAAUACUUAUAUAAUUAGCAGCAUAGAAUUGGACAUUAGAAUUUCUGCAUAUGCUGCCUUGGAGCUACAGGCUGCUUAUUUAACAUUUUGUUACAGUUGUUUAUACACUAAGCUAUCAGUUAUAGUUGAUCCUGACAAUUCAUCAAGCUAUCCUUACACACAGUUGAUUAGUUUUCCCCGCAAAGGAUUCCUCAUUUAGUUUAACAAAAUAUCCAUUUUGGGGACUGCACAACAAUGUAUUUUUUCCUCAGAUAACCCAGUCACCCUUCUACAAUCCUGUAUGAUGCAUCUUUGCUGGGAUAUAACUUUUUUAAAGACACAGAAUCUUACUGAUGUUUUUCCCAAGUUUUGCUCAUGAUAGACUUAAAUAUGUUCCCAAUCAUACGUUUUUUUCUUACUUCAGGGUUCCCAGAUUCUUUCUGGAUCCCUG